rnacentral:rRNA from 1 species
GAGAGCUUGCUCGAAGAUGGUGAGAGUGGCGCACGGGUGCGUAACGCGUGAGCAACCUACCUCUAUCAGGGGGAUAGCCUCUCGAAAGAGAGAUUAACACCGCAUAACAUCAACAGUUCGCAUGUUCGGUUGAUUAAAUAUUUAUAGGAUAGAGAUGGGCUCGCGUGACAUUAGCUAGUUGGUAGGGUAACGGCCUACCAAGGCGACGAUGUCUAGGGGCUCUGAGAGGAGAAUCCCCCACACUGGUACUGAGACACGGACCAGACUCCUACGGGAGGCAGCAGUAAGGAAUAUUGGUCAAUGGGCGGAAGCCUGAACCAGCCAUGCCGCGUGCAGGAUGACUGCCCUAUGGGUUGUAAACUGCUUUUGUCCAGGAAUAAACCUAAAUACGUGUAUUUAGCUGAAUGUACUGGAAGAAUAAGGAUCGGCUAACUCCGUGCCAGCAGCCGCGGUAAUACGGAGGAUCCGAGCGUUAUCCGGAUUUAUUGGGUUUAAAGGGUGCGUAGGCGGCCUAUUAAGUCAGGGGUGAAAUACGGUGGCUCAACCAUCGCAGUGCCUUUGAUACUGAUGGGCUUGAAUCCAUUUGAAGUGGGCGGAAUAAGACAAGUAGCGGUGAAAUGCAUAGAUAUGUCUUAGAACUCCGAUUGCGAAGGCAGCUCACUAAGCUGGUAUUGACGCUGAUGCACGAAAGCGUGGGGAUCGAACAGGAUUAGAUACCCUGGUAGUCCACGCCCUAAACGAUGAUAACUCGAUGUUGGCGAUAGACAGCCAGCGUCCCAGCGAAAGCGUUAAGUUAUCCACCUGGGGAGUACGCCCGCAAGGGUGAAACUCAAAGGAAUUGACGGGGGCCCGCACAAGCGGAGGAGCAUGUGGUUAAUUC